rnacentral:rRNA from 1 species
CCUACGGGCGGCAGCAGUGAGGAAUAUUGGUCAAUGGACGCAAGUCUGAACCAGCCAAGUAGCGUGCAGGAUGACGGCCCUCCGGGUUGUAAACUGCUUUUAGUUGGGAAUAAAAGGGGGCUCGUGAGCCCCGUAUUGUAUGUACCAUCAGAAAAAGGACCGGCUAAUUCCGUGCCAGCAGCCGCGGUAAUACGGAAGGUCCGGGCGUUAUCCGGAUUUAUUGGGUUUAAAGGGAGCGUAUGCCGGCUUUUAAGUCAGCUGUGAAAGUACGCGGCUCAACCGUGGAAGUGAAGUUGAAACUGGAGGCCUUGAGUGCACACAGGGAUGCCGGAAUGCAUGGUGUAGCGGU